AGUAAUGUCUGGGAAACUGCCUGAUGGAGGGGGGAUAACUACUGGAAACGGUAGCUAAUACCGCAUAACGUCGAAAGACCAAAGAGGGGGACCUUCGGGCCUCUUGCCAUCGGAUGUGCCCAGAUGGGAUUAGCUUGUUGGUGGGGUAAUGGCUCACCAAGGCGACGAUCCCUAGCUGGUCUGAGAGGAUGACCAGCCACACUGGAACUGAGACACGGUCCAGACUCCUACGGGAGGCAGCAUG
rnacentral:rRNA from 1 species